rnacentral:rRNA from 1 species
UACGGGGGGGGUAAGCGUUGUUCGGAAUUACUGGGCGUAAAGGGCGCGUAGGCGGCCUUCUAAGUCGAACGUGAAAUCCCUGGGCUCAACCCAGGAACUGCGUCCGAUACUGGAAGGCUUGAAUCCGGGAGAGGGAUGCGGAAUUCCAGGUGUAGCGGUGAAAUGCGUAGAUAUCAGGAGGAACACCGGUGGCGAAGGCGGGACUCUGGGCCGAUACUGACGCUGAGGAGCGAAAGCGUGGGGAGCAAACAGG